ensembl:lncRNA
GCCCGCUUAAUGGCAGCGGGAAGUCGAUGAUACUCGGCGGCACCGCUCGUUAGCCGUGUCCACACCGCUUUCAUGCUACAUUGCCCAGUUGGUGCAACAACAGAGGGUCAUCAGCGGUGUGAUGGGAGGAGAGAUGGGCCCAAAGUUAGUGGUGGUGUGGGCAGGACCAGCUGUCGCAGGUGGAGGUCUGGAGCCAAGUGGAAGGUGUCCUUAAAGAGGUGUGUGAGGGGUCGAAGGUCAGCUACCUGCAGGCUGAUGUUCCUCCCGGGCCAGGUGCAUGGCGUGCUCCACUACGCACUGGUUCUGCAGCUGGGACAGGGAGCAGGUGGAGUAGACGACCUCUCCCCCCGGACGAACUGCCUCGAUACCAGGAGGAGUUCUAUCUGCAGCAGAGGCAGCCUCCUCUUUGUCCUGGCCCUCUUGAAGAUGUUGUUCUCCACCAGCUUCACCUGGAAUGCUUUUCCUACAGCCUUGAAGGAAUUCCCACAUAUGCUGAGCACUUGUUGGCUGCUUUUCAUUCACUCUGUGGUCCAACUCAUCCCAAACCAUCUCAACUGAGUUGAGUACGGGUGAUUGUGGAGGGCAGGUCAUCUGAUGCAGCACUCCAUCACUUUCCUUCUUGUUCAAAUAGCAGAUUACACAGCCUGGAGGUGUGUUGGGUCAUUGUCCUGUUGAAAAACAAAUGAUAGUCUGAUAAGGGAAUUAUAUGCUUAAAGGUAAUGAUUAAAGAAUUCCACCCUGAAACAUAA